UACAGAGGUCUCAAGCGUUGUUCGGAUUCAUUGGGCGUAAAGGGUGCGUAGGUGGCGCCGUAAGUCAGGUGUGAAAUUUCGGAGCUUAACUCCGAAACUGCAUUUGAUACUGCGGUGCUUGAGGACUGGAGAGGAGACUGGAAUUUACGGUGUAGCAGUGAAAUGCGUAGAGAUGUGGAGGAACACCGAUGGCGAAGGCAGCCUCCUGGGCCAGCACUGACGCUCAUGCACGAAAGCGUGGGGAGUAAACAGG
rnacentral:rRNA from 1 species